CUUUCAUUGUCCUCAAAAAUAAAUUAAAAACACUACAUAUUACUUUUGACUAAUUUCUAUAUUUUUAUUUUCUUGUUAUUCAUAUAUUUUUACUAUGUUCUUCUCAUUAUAUUAUCAUAUCGUUUAUAAUCUAGGAUAUAUCCUCCUUCACAUAACAAUAUCAUUGAUUCAUCGUCAUAAAUUGAUAUUAUGAGUUAUGCAGAUGUGUAGACAUGCAUGCAAUGCUCUACACCAACAUUGUUUUAGCUAUACAGGUUGUCAACAAGUACUUCGCUCAAGGGCCAUGACAAACUCAAGAAAAACGGCCAAGUUCACCAAUUGAAAAAUAAAUAGUGUCUCCACAUCUAUAUGUCAUACAAAAAGAAUUGUAUCCGUCAAACUGAAUUAUUUUUUUCUCUCGGUAUAAGACUUUUAUCUCUAUAAAUGAAUUAAAAAGGAAGACUUCUACCGGAUAUUUUUGUAGGUAGUUUAGAACAUAUGAAAAAGCCAAUGAAAUGAUAAAUUUUAAUAGAAUUAAGCGGUCUCUUUCCAUAUAAUACAACGCGAAGCAUGGUUCAUGCCUUGUUGACCAUAAGUUACGAUUUAAAAUAUCAAUGUGGGUCAACAAGGAAUGGAGGCAUAAACUAGCCAGUGUUUAUCUAACAGGUAUAUGAAUCUUCUUUUGUUUUAGUAAGCAAAGGAGAUUGGCGAUUUUUCGGCGAUACGCGAACUAGGUUUCUCAACAUGACUUCGGCGCCGCCGCCAGACGCACCUUCUCCAUAUCAGCCAUUAAUAUUUUUUCUAUCUUUUUUUCUUUAAAAUGUGGCCAAUUUUUUUUUUUUUUUUGCAUCCAGCCACCGAAUUUCUAGGACCGGCUCUGGUGAUACUUGCUGCUAUACCACUCAGAACCUUAUAAAACUAGGUCUUCGAUCAUUUUACAUGUAAAUGUUUUGAGGUAUUAAAAAAAAAACAUGUAAAUGUUUUUGUAAUCUUUUUAUGAGUUGAUUUGAGCUGGUGGAGGAGCUGGCGGAGGAGCUGGGGGAGGAUUCGGUGGUGGUGCUGGUGGGGGUCACGGUGGAGGUGUUGGUGGAGGAUCAGGCGGAGGAUUUGGUGCUGGUGGUGGUGCCGGCGGAGGAGCUGGUGGAGGAUUCGGUGGUGGUGGUGGUGCCGGUGGAGGGUUUGGCGGUGGAUUUUAAAAUUUUAGUAAUUCAGUAUUCAUACAAAAUCUAUUCUUGGCUUGUACUAAGCUAGGGCUACUAGUUACUUAUGUACCAAGUCAUAUGAGAAGAAUGAUAUUUUUUUCUGAUUUACUUUGUAACGAUAACGAAAUUUUAAAUAUUUGAAACAUCUUCCAGUAUUCACAAUAUUUUUUCGUUGGCUAGUUAAUCUAAUUAAUCAGUCGGGAAAUUAUUUUAAAUUAUGAGAUAUGAUUAUAGUUUAGGUUACAUAUAUUAUAAAAAUGGAAAUUUAUCUUAUAUAAUGCGUGCAAACGACAUAAGAAUUUCCAAUCAGUCUACAAUCAUUUUAGAGUAGAACAAAAAGAGAGAAAACUAUUUCGUAUAGUGAAGAAAAGAUUGGGUUCUUCUUUCUUCAUAUGUUUUCUUCCAAGCCAAACGGGAGACACGCAUAAGAAGCUCUAAGAGUUUUGAUGAAGCCAAACAGGGAGCCAAGAAGUUCCAUCAAUAAAAUCAAUAGACAAGAAAGACUCAACUUCUUGUUUGGUCAGUUCUUUAGCCCAGUCUGAUCUACCUUGUCGCUCAGCACCUGGUCCAUGACACUUAUACUCCGCAUGGUAUAUAUCCCUGAUCAAAAGUCUCAACAGUAUUAGUAUAAACAUGAACAGUAAUAAGAUAUAAAUAAUAAUUAGAGACUAACUUGGUCGAGCCAUCGUAGCUCCAGUUGGUCCAACCGCUAGGGACAACGGUCUUGGACAAGUAAGUCUUGGCAAAGAUGACUCGAGAAUAAGGUCCCUUGGCACGGCCUAAGUAGACUUCAUCGAUUCCGUACACUUUGCCUCUUAUGAACACAUAACCUGUGUGUUCCUCUGCGUUUUCCCUGUGGUGUGCUGUGAUUGACCCAUACGGUUUCACCCUCUUGUCCGAUAUCACAAAUAUCUCACAAUUCUGUAACAAUUUUAUAAAAGGUAAAAGAAAGUGAGAUAAUAUAUUGGUGGUCAAUAUAUAUGUUAUGUUUUAGAGAAUGUGAAAAACGCACGUUGAAAAUGGAAGUUGCACGACCGAAGAUGAAGUCGAUGGAGCCUUGGAUGUAACACUCAUGGUAGUAAUGUCUACCUUUGUUAUCAAACAAAGUGUUGUGCAAGCUGUAGAACGCACAAUGGUAAAACGCAACUUUAUCAGCCGCCACAAACGCUGCCACCGAUUGAUUGUCAGACGUGAACGCCAGUCCGACCGGUGCAUCAUUCUGUAUAUUCAUCACACAGAUUCAUUAAGACACAAAUGUCAUGUACGUAAUCAAAAUCUACAAUUGUGUUAAUACAUACCCUGAUGCUGAUACCAAAAGCAACGAAGUGAUUAGCUUCGACUUUGAAAGUGGCUGAAGCAACAUUAUCGACAGCACUUUGCGAUGAUUCAAUGACUGUCUUUCCUCUUCCGUUGCCUCUCAUGAAUAUGAACGGCUUGUUCUCCGGAAUGUGCACUCUCUCCCUAUUUCCUCAAAAAAUAAUUAUCAAAAUUCAAAAUAAAUGUAUAUAUGUGACAAUAGUAAUGCAUAUAAUAUUACUAUAAAUAUAUGUAUGUUAUGUAACAUGAUUUGCGCGUAUGAAGUAAUGUAAAAGGUUAAGCGUAAGUAAACGUACUUGUAGAUUCCUUUACGGACAUGGACGAUAAUCCAAUUAGAGUUAUCAACAGGAACAGCAUCAAUGGCUUUUUGCACCGAAGUGUAGUCUCCUUUGCCUUCAAUAUCGACGAUGAUCGAUCUAUUUGUUGCUAUUUUUUCAGUCAGAAGCGGCGCGUCGAACUUCGUCUUUUGCAUUGCGGAUGCGUCCGAACCCCAUACGGACAUUGCAACCAGAGCUAGGACAAGGAUCAUUCUUGCUCGAUGAUCCAUUUUAUCUUUUGGGGUUUCUAGUUUUCUUUUUGGAAUGGGGAUAUGAGGAAGAUGUUAUAUGGUGAAGGAAGAGGUUAAAUUUAAGAAAACAGAUUUUUAAAUUUAGGGUGUUUCGUUGUGUUUGUUUUGUUUUGAGAGGUAAGGGCUUAAACAGGUUUUCUAGGCAACGUUUAUUUUUAGAUAUCUAUUAUUGAUUAAUGGGUGAAAAAUACUUCGAGAUAUAUAUAUAUUUCUAUCUUUGGUAACAAAGAAAUCAUUGUGGUAUAAAUCUUUCAUUGUCCUCAAAAAUAAAUUAAAAACACUACAUAUUACUUUUGACUAAUUUCUAUAUUUUUAUUUUCUUGUUAUUCAUAUAUUUUUACUAUGUUCUUCUCAUUAUAUUAUCAUAUCGUUUAUAAUCUAGGAUAUAUCCUCCUUCACAUAACAAUAUCAUUGAUUCAUCGUCAUAAAUUGAUAUUAUGAGUUAUGCAGAUGUGUAGACAUGCAUGCAAUGCUCUACACCAACAUUGUUUUAGCUAUACAGGUUGUCAACAAGUACUUCGCUCAAGGGCCAUGACAAACUCAAGAAAAACGGCCAAGUUCACCAAUUGAAAAAUAAAUAGUGUCUCCACAUCUAUAUGUCAUACAAAAAGAAUUGUAUCCGUCAAACUGAAUUAUUUUUUUCUCUCGGUAUAAGACUUUUAUCUCUAUAAAUGAAUUAAAAAGGAAGACUUCUACCGGAUAUUUUUGUAGGUAGUUUAGAACAUAUGAAAAAGCC
rnacentral:lncRNA from 1 species